rnacentral:misc_RNA from 1 species
AAGUCGUAACAAGGUAACCGUAGGUGAACCUGCGGUUGGAUCAUUACUGAAUUUGAGGCCAAAUUCGCAGGGUGUGUGCGGCGCAAGUCGUGUGCACGCUGAGUCUUUGUGCUGAAAAUGGGCGUCGAGUCUGGGUCACUCCAGGCCCGUCACCCAACCCCACCUUUUGUGCAACGUACGUAUUUGGCGGGAGCCUUUUGGCAAUGGACGCGUGGGUCAAACUGCGCGCCCUUUGCCAGCUGAGCAUUGCGGACCAAGUAUUGUCCGACCGCCAAGCCCCUUUCUAUACCAAUGCCUUACUAAAAGCACCUAACGUCUAAUUGCAUGCAAAGCGUCUCUCAUUCUUUCGAGGGUGUGAGCGUCGAGUAAUGUGAAGCAACGAAAAACAACUUUUGACAACGGAUCUCUUGGCUCUC